UGAAUAGAAACCUCCAAUCAUCACUCGGCACAGACUUCCUGCAGCAGCCAGAAGCCCUGGAAAAAUGGUUGCAUUCUUUUAUUUCUUUCUACCGUGACAUGUUUGGAUCUGCCAAUAUCUUGCUUUAGGAAGAACAGGGUCACAGCAUGGCAGUCAUUUUGGGCUGUAUCUAGGGGGAACAUCUUACAAAUGGUGGACUCCUGACCCAGUAAAGGCCCAACAAAAGAGGGUUCUGACAUGUCAAUAAUCUUUUGUCCAUUUGGCCGGACACCCUGGAGAGGUUAUCAAUCUUGUGGAUGUAGAAUUGUUCAUGGUAUUCCCUGAUGAGGUCUCAGUCUUCCCGUGAGCCUCUGCCUCUGGACUGUGAACUUUAUUUGUCUUUUCGCGCUUUCACAAGAUCUUCUGAUGAAAAAAAAAGAAGUCCUAAUUUGAAGGUGGUUCAAAUUAUCUUUCUUUCCUUUGUGGUCUUGACUCCAUUUUUCACUAAAACGAAUCAAAACUCCUUGGAGAGAUGACCGAUUGCUGGGAAAAGACAGGGAAUGUACAAGAUGGACCUGGAACGUCUUUUGUGCCACAAAGCAAGAAGGUGCUCAAAGAGUAGUGAGAGUACAUCAAGUCAGCUUGAACAAGCUUCCACUGGCCAAAUUGGGGACAAUUUGAACAUCAAAAUAAACAAUGACAAAAGUAUAGUAUAGGCUAUUGGAUAAAAUAGAAAACCAUUUGACAUUUACAUACUUCCAAAGUACCUUCCCACAAAAUACUUAUUAAUUACAAAGGGGAAAAUAGUAAAUUUAUAGUGAAGGAGCUUGGCAAAAUAGCACCUUAAUCAAGUGAUCAAAGAGAUCAUUACUGAUAAUGGGACAAACUGAAAUUGUGCAGCAUCUGAUAGGAUUCAUUAAGAAUCCAGCAUAACUUCUGUCAUAUUCCUCCAAAAGAUGUACAAUCUGAAUCUAAUCGUGAGGAAGCACCACACAAACCUGGCUUGAGAGACAUUAUACAAAAUAAUUGACCUGUAAUCCCCAACAGUGUCAAGGUCAUGAAAGACAAGGAAACUAGGAAAUGCUUCAUACUCAAGAAUACUAAAGACAAAUGACAACUAAGUCUGAUUCUAAAGGUAUCAUUUUCUAUGAAAAACAUUAUUGAGACAACUAAUGAAACUUAAAUGAGGUCUGAGGAUUAUAUGAUACUGAUACAGCAAUAUAGGGUUUCUGUUUUGGUGGUAAUUAAGGAAAAUGUCUUUGUAGGAAGUAGACAUAAACUAUUUGGUAGUAGUAAGGCAUUAGGUCAGCAACUUGCUCUCAAAUGGUUAAGGAAAAAAAUUUAUUUGAAUAUGUUUCCAACUUUUCUGUAAUUUUGAUUGUUUUGAAAUACAUACACAUUCAUAGACAUAGAUAUAGAUAUAAUAGAUAUAGAUAUAAAGCUGCUAAGAUUUUUACUGGGCAUGCUUAGUUUUGAUAUAUCAACUUGAGGAGUAUUAAUAUCUUACCAAAAUUUAGUCUUUCAAUCUAUGAACAUGGUGUAUUUCUCUGUGUAGCUGUUCUUUCAAUAAUAUUUUAUGUCUAUCUGGACAGCGGAUUUGUACUUCAGUUAGAUUUAUGCCUGAAUAUAUAACUUUUUCAUACAAUUUUAAAUAGUAUAUUUCUUUAUUUUACUUCCUAUUUUUUUGUUGCUGACUGAUAGAAAUGCAAUUGAUUUCUGGCUGUCAACUUUGUAUCUGAAAACCUUGCCAAAUUAUUUAAUAUACCUAAUAAAUCACCUGCACAUUCUUUUAUAUUUUCUUCAUACCCAAUCAUAUCACCUACAAAUAAGAGUAUCUAAACUUUACGCUUUUGUUAUUUUUCAUGCUAUAUUUAGCUGGCUAGUUUCUUCAAUAUAUUUUUAAUAAAUUUAAAGGAUAUCCCUACUGACUCCCAUCUCAGAAGGAAAGGGUUCAACAUAGUACCAUUAAGUAUGAUGUUUAUUGUAUUCUCUUUAUCAAUAGAGACUGUUCCCUUAAUCCAUUUCUAGUUUGCUAAAAUUUGCUCAUGAAUAGAUGUUGAAAGUUGACUGCUUUUUCUGCAUUAAGAUUUUCUUCUUCAUAACAUGCUUAUUUUGUAGUCUUCAUUUGAUAAUCCUAUUGUUUAAAGUACUUUAAGAUCUGAAUUCUCUCAUUUGUGUUUCUGCUCUUUCUUGCAUUGGAUUUUCUUUGUCUUCAUCUAUUUUGUAGUUUGCAAUAAAUUUAAAUAAAUAUAUAUAAUUUUAUAUAAAACUUUAUAUUUUGGGUUUGUCAGUGAGAAUAAUGUUUAAUCUAGAUUUUAGGUGUGUCGUUUCAAGGAAGUUCUACAAUUG
rnacentral:lncRNA from 1 species